rnacentral:rRNA from 1 species
GACGAACGCUGGCGGCGUGCCUAAUACAUGCAAGUAGAACGCAGUUGCGAACGGGUGAGUAACGCGUAGGUAACUGCCUCAUAGCGGGGGAUAACUAUUGGAAACGAUAGCUAACAUCGCAUACUUCGCGAUGGACCUGUGUUGUAUUAGCUAGUUGGUUAGGUAAAGGCUAACCAAGGCGUAGGCACAUAGCCGACCUGAGAGGGUGAUCCACCAAACUGGGAAUGGGGAACGGCCCAGGAUCCCACGGGAGGCAGCAGUAGGGGAACUUCGGCAAUUGACGGAAGUCUGACCGAGCAAAGGCGCGUGAGUGAAGAAGGUUUUCGGAACGUAAAGCUCUGUUGUUAGAGAAGCGGUAACUAACCAGAAAGGGACGGCUAACUACGUGCCAGCAGCCGCGGUAAUUC